UGUUUGGGCCACUUUUCAUGUGGAAAAAAGGGCGACGUUUGGGCCGACAAUUUUGUGGCCCAGUCCCUCUUUCUCUUUCUUCUUUUAUUUUCCCGGCCUCUUUUCUUCCACCAGAAAUCGCUAGUUGACAUUCUUCCGGCCGUUUUUCUCCCUGGAGCCAUGUUUUCCGGCGCCGACAGCCUCGUUGGUUUUUCCACCGAUUCCCAAUUUUUUUUCCAUCUUCUGCAGUUCCUUUGGGUUAGACUCUGUUCCUCGUCCGAUUUAAUAUAUUUCGAUUUUGUGCGUUCCAUAUUUCUCUCUGGGAUUGGGUCGGUAAUAAGGGCAAAUCGGUUUGGGUAUAUAUACAUUUCGUUUGCUAUAAUAUUUCUGUAAAAUUAAUUGUCCAAAUUGAGAGUUUUUUAGGUUGAAAUACAGUGCCAUCUUCGACAUCCUAGCAUUUUACAACUCUAUGGUUACUUUUAUGAUCAGAAACUUAAAUCCUUAGCUCUGGAGCCCCAUCGAGGAAGAGGAAGAAGACGCGCGGCAGAUGCUGGGUAGCGACGGGCGGCCGAGGCUGGGAAUGACGGCUUAAACCACCGGCGAGCGGUUGAUGAUGAAAAAAUUGUGAAGGAGGCAGAAAAUAUUUUAGCAAAAUAUCUUACAAACAGCGGCGCAUGUGAGAGGGCCUCUUUUUUUCUCCACGUGAUAAACGUUUUCUUGUUCACUCGGUUAGAUAUGCUGUUGCGUAUGAGAAAUCAGUUCAAAGUUCGCCCCCGUACAAGUGGAGUUCUUUUUGUGAAAAUCAUUGCAGUAGAAGUUCAAUAGGCCUAUAUAUCCUCGUCUUUGCACUCGCUUGAAGCAGGGCCUUUUUUGGGUUCGAUUCCUCCCGUUUUUUGUCAAACUUGGAGGAUAUACUGUUAUCUGAAUUCCUUGCAUACUCCAAAGCUGAUGCUGCAUGCUUCUUUAACAUUAGAACAUGCACAAUAGGUAAUACGUUGCCUUCAAUCUCACUAAUGAAAUGUAUCUUCUGUGCCAAUACUUUAGGCAUGCAGAGUUUAUACGAAGUGAUGUACUUGUAGUUAUUUCCUUAUUACUUUUGUCCCGGUUUAUGUUUUCAGUUAAUUCCAAAUUUAAAUUGGUGAUGUGAGGUUACUCGCGCUUACAAAGGGAAUAUAUUUACGAAGUCUACAAAUCUUGAAUGGCUCACUCGUGAACAGUUUGUAUGAGAUCUUAUAAUAAUAACUACCUUAAAAGAAAUAUGUGUCCGAAUUCCUAUGCAUUUCUUACUAUUAAAGUCCGUCACCUUUUAUUUUUUGAAACCCUGAUCGGAAAUAAACUCUGGAGAAUUUUGCUGUUAGUAUGUAGUGAGAUUAUCCAAAAUCUGUCGACAUAAUGAUUAAACAUAUUUUAUACUGUUUUCUGAUGCUCCCAUACAAUGUAAAGAUAUGUGUGAAUGGCGGUGACUUGGUAGAUUUUGUUGUAAUAGAUCUUUAGAUUUUUAUAGAAGUAGCUUCCAUUUUUUUUU